GUGUGAGUGAUCUUUUGAUCUGUAGUUUCAUCGACUAUUCGUAGCGAGGCUACUGAGUUUGAUUGCACGUUUCUUUGGUUCCUAGCAUUCGAAUCCUUGCUGUGUAUAUUGACUAUAGUAGAUUUAGGUUUGCUGUUAGGAGUAGGAUGCAUCUAGAAGGAAUCUAUCGAUCUUGGUAGAAAAGAAAAAACUUAUGCAAUUUACGAGAUUGAGUUCAAAAA
rnacentral:lncRNA from 1 species